rnacentral:rRNA from 1 species
GACGAACGCUGGCGGCGUGCUUAACACAUGCAAGUCGAACGGAAAGGCCCUGCUUUUGUGGGGUGCUCGAGUGGCGAACGGGUGAGUAACACGUGAGUAACCUGCCCUUGACUUUGGGAUAACUUCAGGAAACUGGGGCUAAUACCGGAUAGGAGCUCCUGCUGCAUGGUGGGGGUUGGAAAGUUUCGGCGGUUGGGGAUGGACUCGCGGCUUAUCAGCUUGUUGGUGGGGUAGUGGCUUACCAAGGCUUUGACGGGUAGCCGGCCUGAGAGGGUGAACGGCCACAUGGGGACUGAGAGACGGCCCAGAAUCCUACGGGAGGCAGCAGUGGGGAGUAUUGCACAAUGGGCGGAAGCCUGAUGCAGCAACGCCGCGUGCGGGAUGACGGCCUUCGGGUUGUAAACCGCUUUCGCCUGUGACGAAGCGUGAGUGACGGUAAUGGGUAAAGAAGCACCGGCUAACUACGUG